UAGUAGAGUGGCAAACGGGUGAGUAACACGUGGGUGACCUGCCUUCGAGUGGGGGAUAACGUCCCGAAAGGGACGCUAAUACCGCAUAACAUCCUGCCUUUGAAGAGGUGGAGAUCAAAGCUGGGGACCGCAAGGCCUGGCACUGGAAGAGGGGCCCGCGUCUGAUUAGCUAGUUGGUGAGGUAACGGCUCACCAAGGCUACGAUCAGUAUCCGGCCUGAGAGGGCGGACGGACACACUGGGACUGAGACACGGCCCAGACUCCUACGGGAGGCAGCAGUGGGGAAUUGUUCGCAAUGGGCGCAAGCCUGACGACGCAACGCCGCGUGGAGGAUGAAGACCUUCGGGUCGUAAACUCCUUUCGAUCGAGACGAACGGCCCCGGGGUGAACAAUCCCGGGGAGUGACGGUACCGAGAGAAGAAGCCCCGGCUAACUCCGUGCCAGCAGCCGCGGUAAUACGGGGGGGGCAAGCGUUGUUCGGAAUUACUGGGCGUAAAGGGCUCGUAGGUGGCCAACUAAGUCAGACGUGAAAUCCCUCGGCUUAACCGGGGAACUGCGUCUGAUACUGGAUGGCUUGAGUUUGGGAGAGGGAUGCGGAAUUCCAGGUGUAGCGGUGAAAUGCGUAGAUAUCUGGAGGAACACCGGUGGCGAAGGCGGCAUCCUGGACCAACACUGACACUGAGGAGCGAAAGCCAGGGGAGCAAACGGGAUUAGAUACCCCGGUAGUCC
rnacentral:rRNA from 1 species